AGCCGCGGUAAUACGGAGGAUGCGAGCGUUAUCCGGAUUUAUUGGGUUUAAAGGGAGCGCAGGCUGCGAGGCAAGUCAGCGGUCAAAUGUCGGGGCUCAACCCCGGCCUGCCGUUGAAACUGUCCUGCUAGAGUUCGAGUGAGGUAUGCGGAAUGCGUUGUGUAGCGGUGAAAUGCAUAGAUAUGACGCAGAACUCCGAUUGCGAAGGCAGCAUACCAACUCGCGACUGACGCUGAGGCUCGAAAGCGUGGGUAUCGAACAGGAUUAGAUACCCUGGUAGUCCACGCAGUAAACGAUGAAUACUAACUGUUCGGAGGGCGACCUCUGAGUGGUAAAGCGAAAGCGUUAAGUAUUCCACCUGGGGAGUACGCCGGCAACGGUGAAACUCAAAGGAAUUGACGGGGGCCCGCACAAGCGGAGGAACAUGUGGUUUAAUUCGAUGAUACGCGAGGAACCUUACCCGGGCUUGAAUUGCAGAGGAAGGAUUUGGAGACAAUGACGCCCUUCGGGGCCUCUGUGAAGGUGCUGCAUGGUUGUCGUCAGCUCGUGCCGUGAGGUGUCGGCUUAAGUGCCAUAACGAGCGCAACCCCCGCGUCCAGUUGCCAGCGAGUAGAGUCGGGCACUCUGGACGGACUGCCGGCGCAAGCCGCGAGGAAGGCGGGGAUGACGUCAAAUCAGCACGGCCCUUACGUCCGGGGCGACACACGUGUUACAAUGGCGUGGAACAGAGGGAAGCCACCUGGCGACAGGGAGCGGAACCCGAAAACACGUCUCAGUUCGGAUUGGAGUCUGCAACUCGACUCCAUGAAGCUGGAUUCGCUAGUAAUCGCGCAUCAGCCAUGGCGCGGUGAAUACGUUCCCGGGCC
rnacentral:rRNA from 1 species